GACGAACGCUGGCGGCGUGCUUAACACAUGCAAGUCGAACGGUGAAGCUCCAGCUUGCUGGAGUGGAUCAGUGGCGAACGGGUGAGUAACACGUGAGCAACCUGCCCCUGACUCUGGAAUAAGCGCUGGAAACGGCGUCUAAUACUGGAUACGAGAAGGGUCCGCAUGGGCACUUUCUGGAAAGUUUUUCGGUUGGGGAUGGGCUCGCGGCCUAUCAGCUUGUUGGUGAGGUAGUGGCUCACCAAGGCGACGACGGGUAGCCGGCCUGAGAGGGCGACCGGCCACACUGGGACUGAGACACGGCCCAGACUCCUACGGGAGGCAGCAGUGGGGAAUAUUGCACAAUGGGCGAAAGCCUGAUGCAGCGACGCCGCGUGAGGGAUGACGGCCUUCGGGUUGUAAACCUCUUUCGGCAGGGAAGAAGCGAAAGUGACGGUACCUGCAGAAGAAGCACCGGCUAACUACGUG
rnacentral:rRNA from 1 species